rnacentral:rRNA from 1 species
GUGGGCUUGAUGCUGGCAUCUUUUUGAUGCAUGUGCUCAGCCCCGCUCUCAAAUCCACUCAACACCUGUGCACUUUCAAAGUUGUAGUCCUCCGUAAUGGGAGUCGCAAGUCUUUUUUGACUUGCUGGGACUGCGCUUUGCCAUUUAUCACAAACGAUAUUCAUUGUUUUGUAGAAUGUCUAGCCUCAUUGUAGGUGAAACUUAAUACAACUUUCAACAACGGAUCUCUUGGCUCUCGCAUCGAUGAAGAACGCAGCGAAAUGCGAUAAGUAAUGUGAAUUGCAGAAUUCAGUGAAUCAUCGAAUCUUUGAACGCACCUUGCGCUCCUUGGUAUUCCGAGGAGCAUGCCUGUUUGAGUGUCGUGAAAUUAUCAACUCCUAUUCUUUAUUGAAUGGUGAGCUUGGAUUUGGAGAUUGCUGGUGAAAAUCGGCUUCUCUUGAAUGAAUUAGCUGGAAUUUGAUUCGCAGCAUAUAUGCGGUGUGAUAAUGUCGUCACUGUGUAGCUCGGAUUGUCUGGCUUCUAAUCGUCUUUCAUGGACAAUUUGAUCAUUUUGACCUCAAAUCAGGUAGGACUACCCGCUGAACUUAAGCAUAUCAAUAAGCGGAGGAAAAGAAACUAACAAGGAUUCCCCUAGUAACUGCGAGUGAAGCGGGAAAAGCUCAAAUUUAAAAUCUGACAGUUUCACUGUCCGAGUUGUAAUCUGGAGAAGCAUUUUCCGUGUCGGACCGUGUACAAGUCUCUUGGNAAUAGAGCGUCAUAGAGGGUGAGAAUCUCCGUCCAUGACACGGACUACCCGAUGCUUUGUGAUAUGCUCUCGAAGAGU